AGUGGGGAAUAUUGGACAAUGGGCGAAAGCCUGAUCCAGCCAUGCCGCGUGAGUGAUGAAGGCCCUAGGGUUGUAAAGCUCUUUCAACGGUGAAGAUAAUGACGGUAACCGUAGAAGAAGCCCCGGCUAACUUCGUGCCAGCAGCCGCGGUAAUACGAAGGGGGCUAGCGUUGUUCGGAAUUACUGGGCGUAAAGCGCACGUAGGCGGAUACUUAAGUCAGGGGUGAAAUCCCGGGGCUCAACCCCGGAACUGCCUUUGAUACUGGGUAGUCUCGAGUCCGAGAGAGGUGAGUGGAAUUCCGAGUGUAGAGGUGAAAUUCGUAGAUAUUCGGAGGAACACCAGUGGCGAAGGCGGCUCACUGGCUCGGUACUGACGCUGAGGUGCGAAAGCGUGGGGAGCAAA
rnacentral:rRNA from 1 species